rnacentral:rRNA from 1 species
UACGUAGGAGGCAAGCGUUGUCCGGAGUUACUGGGCGUAAAGCGCACGCAGGCGGUCUUGUCAGUCUGUAGGGACAGGGCACAGCUCAACUGUGUCAGGCUUACGGAAACUGCAAGACUUGAGGGCUUCAGAGGGAUGGGGAAUUCCGGGUGGAGUGGUGAAAUGCGUAGAGAUCCGGAAGAACGACCAAAGGCGAAGGCACCAUCCUGGGGAGUCACUGACGCUCGGGUGCGAAAGCUAGGGGAGCGAACGGG